rnacentral:rRNA from 1 species
UACGUAGGGUGCAAGCGUUGUCCGGAAUUAUUGGGCGUAAAGAGCUCGUAGGCGGUCUGUCGCGUCUGCUGUGAAAACUCAGGGCUUAACCCUGAGCUUGCAGUGGGUACGGGCAGACUAGAGUGCGGUAGGGGAGACUGGAAUUCCUGGUGUAGCGGUGAAAUGCGCAGAUAUCAGGAGGAACACCGAUGGCGAAGGCAGGUCUCUGGGCCACUACUGACGCUG